AGUGAACGCUGGCGGUAGGCCUAACACAUGCAAGUCGAACGGCAGCACAGUAAGGGCUUGCUCUUACGGGUGGCGAGUGGCGGACGGGUGAGGAAUACAUCGGAAUCUACUUUUUCGUGGGGGAUAACGUAGGGAAACUUACGCUAAUACCGCGUACGACCUACGGGUGAAAGCAGGGGAUCUUCGGACCUUGCCCGAUUGAAUGAGGCGAUGUCGGAUUAGCUAGUUGGCGGGGUAAAGGCCCACCAAGUCGACCAUCCGUAGCUGGUCUGAGAGGAUGACCAGACACACUGGAAGUCAGACACAGCCGAGACUCAUACAGGAGGGAGAAGAGAGGAAUACUGGACAAUGGGUGCAAGCCUGAUCCAGACAUAAAGCGUGGGUGAAGAAGGCCUCAGGCUUGUAAAGCAUUUCUGUUGGGAAAGAAAAGCAGCAGGUUAAUACCCCGCUGUUCUGACGGUACCCAACGAAUAAGCACCGGCUAACUUCGUG
rnacentral:rRNA from 1 species